CCCCUCUCAGGAUCACACCGAGAGAGUUCCCAAUACUCUACCAGUCUCGGCUACAGGACGGAGAGUCAAGCAGAGGCCUAUCCAUUCCAUUCCUAGCUUGGGCAGUGGCUAGCGGGUGGAAGGCAAUCUGCAACAAGU